GAUGAACGCUGGCGGCGUGCUUAACGCAUGCAAGUCGAACGAUGAACCGGGUGCUUGCACUCGGGGAUUAGUGGCGAACGGGUGAGUAACACGUGAGCAACCUGCCCCUGACUCUGGGAUAAGCGCUGGAAACGGCGUCUAAUACUGGAUAUGUCCCGUCACCGCAUGGUGUGCGGGUGGAAAGAUUUUUCGGUUGGGGAUGGGCUCGCGGCCUAUCAGCUUGUUGGUGAGGUAAUGGCUCAUCAAGGCGUCGACGGGUAGCCGGCCUGGGAGGGGGACCGGCCACACUGGGACUGAGACACGGCCCAGACUCCUACGGGGGGCAGCAGUGGGGAAUAUUGCACAAUGGGCGGAAGCCUGAUGCAGCAACGCCGCGUGAGGGAUGACGGCCUUCGGGUUGUAAACCUCUUUUAGCAGGGAAGAAGCGAGAGUGACGGUACCUGCAGAAAAAGCACCGGCUAACUACGUGCCAGCCGCCGCCGUAA
rnacentral:rRNA from 1 species